UGUAUGCAUUGGUCGUUGAUGCAAUUUUAAAUAUGGAGCAAUUUGCUCUGCCAUGUUAGUUUCUUGGCAAAAUUAGGAAAAGUUUGAGUUUGAGACUAUGGGCUAUCUGAAAAGCUAGAUACAUUAUUUUCCUACUUGUCUUUAUCAUGUAUAGGGGCACUGGUUGUUUCCUACUUUGUUGCAAAUUUUAAAAUGACAUGUAUUCGGAUAUCAUUAGUUUUACUUUCUCAUUUUGACUAUGUGCAGUACUACUACUUACAUUCAGCCAGGAUAGCCUUAAAAUUUUAUAAUAUGAUCAACUUGGGGAGGAGGCUGAUUGUUCAUUCAAUGGAUUUGUGUUGAUGUGUUUCUGUUGCGGGCAUGACAAUGUGGUCGGUGUAGUGGAUGAUCUUCUAUCACUGGUAGGUGAUAAUACUUUGGGACACUACUUUGCCUCCACACAAGAUUUUGAUCUUCCGAAUAAAUUAGGGGAGGUAGUUUAGUGCUAUGUGUGCUUGUGUAUUAUGUCUGGUCCAGUUCUGAUAAGAUUACAUACUUUUUCUUAGCUUACAAUUCCAAGAAAAAAUAGUGUUUGUGAGUGAUUAAGCGACUUGCUUUCAUUCCAUUCCGUCUUCUUAUACCUUCCUUUUUGUUGUUACAUACUCUUACCUUGGCCUCAUGCAUGAACCCUGUUGAGGACGAAGAAUGCGGCAAAUAAGUUUAGAUGAUUUGUAGCUCCUAGGUUCUCGUUGAGAAUUGAUGUUUUUUUUAUUUUGUUUGGUUUUUGUUACCAUGGAGUCUUGAAGGUUAGAGCAAUUAUGACCCUGGAGGUUCAGAGGUUAGUUUCUUACUACUGAAAGCUUAAUUCUGUUUCAAACAGUAACAUAUGGGGGAAUUUUGUAGCAACAUUUUUGAAACAUGGUGGAAUUAAAGGGUGGGGCUAUAGUUGAAACCUACCUCAUUUUCAUGUAAUAUUAGUGGAUAUUAUCUUUCAUGUUGGAUGUAUAAGACCGAACCGAGCUAUCAGUACUUUGGAUUAAUUAUCCUCUUCUACAAUGCAAGACAUGCAUCUUGUAAUCUGAAUAUCAUAUUGUUUAACCAUUGAUGUUACGUGCAAAUGCAAUAUUUCCUAUGUGAACUGUCAACAAACUAGGUCGACCCUUGCAGUAUAUGUGCAUUAGAUCAUCAAAUUCUGAUGUGAACUAUUCUUCUGUUGGCACGUGGCAUUGUGAGCUCACUCUCUCGAUCACUUGUGGGUCUAUUGGGUUGCGAGCAAAAUUACUUUUCCAACAGCGUACGUUUUGGGGAAAAGAGAAAUAUGGGUGAUCAUCUAGCCGCUGCACUGGUGACGAGCCGGCGGUGUCUCAAGAACUUCCAGCAAAGACGGUCCUGAGGCGUCCGAACAAUCUACGGUACUCCUCGACCCUGGAGCCCCUGGAUGUACAAAGAGUUAGUUCAAGUUUGGGAUGAUAUACCGUGUCGUUUUGAAAAUUAGUAGAUUCAGUUAGUUCAGGUAUGUGAUGAUCUGUGAGCAGUGGAAUUGUUAUGCACCUUCGACGUUAAAUCCAAAUGCUAAUCCAACCACCGUAAUGUAAUUAAAACAAAUAGUACGAUAGUCUAAAAGUUGCUUUGGUUUCCUACCAUACCAACAUUAUAACUUUAUUCAUUUAUUAUCAGUUACUGAAUGGGAUGUCACCAUUUUCUUAGGUUACUCAUUGGCUCAGGGCCUCCAUACUGUGCAUUGUGCCCACGAAGGAUUUGGGCAUUGGAAAAAUCAAUUACUGGAUUUUCCAAAGGGCAGUUCUGAAACGCUACAUGGAGAGUGAUGCUCGGAGUAGAUAGUUUCAUAUUUAUUCUGCAAGGAACACAAUUAGUUCAACAAGAGGAGGAAAGUAACAGUCUACAUCUCAAAUGGUUCCAGUAAAGUUGUAGGUAAGCCUGGCGACCUAUUUGACCUUGUUCAUUUAUAAGGCUAGAACGUUAUUUGAUCUACUGUCUUUGGCCAUGUAUGGGCCAUGAAUAUUAGAUUAUCCCACUUAAGAUU